ensembl:lncRNA
AUAAUAUUAUAAGCUGCCUGAUAAAACAGUAACAGUGAGAUUAUAGAGUCACUAUUUUUCUCCUCAUUAUAUUAAUACUACAGCCGAGUUUUUGUCACUAAAAUUACAUUUCAAAAUAGCAUAAAUAUGUGUAAUAAAUUCUCAUGCAGACAAUCAGUGUGUGAGUGUGAGUCAUGUUGUGUUUGUGUCUGUGCUUUUCGCGAGUUCCCUGUUUGUUGACGGAAAUCACAUUCUUUUUUCAUUGUUUUAUUGUAUCACAAAUCUUUUUCAUUAUUAAUAUUAUAAAAAAAAAGAUUUCAGUUGAAAUUAUCACACACUGGCUUCACUAAAAAAAAAAAAAAAAAAAAAAAGAUUAUCCUACAGAUCAAAACAAUAGUUUUUCAUAAAUUAUAAAUGUGACCAAGAAUAACCCACACACUUUUACUACCUGUAAAAACUUCUUGCUCACUUACCAGGAAAUAAUUUGGAAUUCCUUUUUCAUUGUUGGUGUAAAUACUGGUUAAAUGGCAGCUCUAAAUUGAGGAGCGUCUCGCUGCAGCCUGCGGUGGACAUCCAACCCGGCCCACAUCCAAGUGUGAUGUCACAGACCACGCCCAUGUCGUGUGUGUGUGUGUGUGUGUUUGGGGGUGGGGGGUGAGAUGAGUGUUUUUAUGUUGGGGGGGUCUAUCUAUCCACACAUGUACUGUAUGUAUAUAUGUAUUCGUGGCAUGCAUGCGUACACACACACACACACACACAAAUACAUUCAUAUAUACAUACAUACAUGUGUAGAUAGAUAGAGAGACAGAUCUCUGAUCACAGUACCCAUGAACAGUAACUUGGUUGGGCAACCGCAUAAUUUCACAAUGUCUUGCAGGAUAACUCUGUGUAUGUCACAAAUUAUCUUUGUAUUCUUCUAUAUUAACUAAAAGAUCACAUAAUGUUUGUUUGUCAUGUUUUACAGCAUUCUACACAUUUUCAGUCCAAGCCUGAUGCAGGGCAUUUCUCCCGGGGGGUCCCUGCUGCAGUUUCACCAGUAAAGAAAAUUACUUGUUACAAUUCACUUGAAGGACCACAUAAGCCAUGCAGUGGUGCAUGGAGGAGCGCCAAGAGGACAUAAAGUGGAAGUUUGUAAGGGACAUUUGUCCAGCGUGGUACAGAGUCAUCGUGGGUUAUUCUGUGGGGAGGUGACAGGGCCUGCCGUUCUCCAGAUGGACAGUAAAAAUCAACAGAAUGCCAUCAAAGACUACCUGGAGGGAGAAUCGGAGGAUAUAUUAAAGCAAGGAAUCUCUCUGUGUAGUCUAUGUAUGUAUGGGUGUGUACUGCAUGUCAAGAACUGUUUAUCUGAUCAUUCAGCUGUUCAUUCAGCUGCUCAGACUUUAUAAUAUUUGGAGCAUAUCUUUUGUUAAACACAACCAGUCAAAAGUUUUUGAACAGUGAGAUUUUUUUACGGAGCCCCUCUGGUCCCACUUUGUCAAAAAAAAAAAAAAAAACUUAUCUUGUGGCCUCAAGAUACUAACUCGUGGCCUCAAGAUAAUGAAGUGUCUGACACAUGGACCCUUUGUUAUUAAACUGGACCCUGUACUGUAGUGCAAUGUAAAACAUUACAUGUAUAUAGGCUACUUGUUUAUUUACCAGUUACGAGUUAGUAUCUUGAGGCCACGAGUUACUUAUCUUGAGGCCACGAGUUAGUAUCUUGAGGCCACGAGUUACUUAUCUUGAGGCCACGAGUUACUUAUCUUGAGGCCACGAGUUAGUAUCUUGAGGCCACGAGUUAGUAUCUUGAGGCCACAAGAUAAGUUUUUUUUUUUUUUUUGACAAAGUGGGACCAGAGGGGCUCCGUAUUUUUUUNUGACAUUGACCUUCAGGCCUUGUUCAUCACAACUUGAUAUGAAACAUGUCCAGGUCCUCCAAUCUUACGUAAAAACUUUGCUUGGGUAUUUUAUAUUUUUUUUUAAAAUUUACAUGUAAAUUUUAAAAAAAAAUAUAAAAAUACCCAAUGAAACAAUGGAUGCCUUUUUCAUUCGUCUUUAAGUAUGUGGAGGACCUGGACAUGUUUCAUAUCAAGUUGUGAUGAACAAGGCCUGAAGGUCAAUGUCAUGUUACUUAUAUAAUCUAUCAAUGCAAUCUUUAUUCAGCCUACGUAUGUGUAGCCUACUGCAUAUGGAGAACUGUUGAUUCUAUCAUUCAAAUGUUAACACUUUAUGAUAAGUGGAAUAAAUCUUUAGAAAAUUAAAUGACAAUUAUACAAUACCAACUUUUACAAUACUUUUGCAUACUUUUACAAUACCAAAAUCUAAUUGCCCCCUUUAAAUUAG